AUAACUAGCCCUGCCCCUGCCCCUGCCCCUGCCCCUGCCCCUGCCCCUGCCUCUGCCUCUGCCUCUCCCUCUCCCCUCUCCCCUCUCCCUCUCGGUCUCCCUCUCCCUCUCUUUCCACGGUCUCCCUCUGAUGCCGAGCCGAAGCUGGACUGUACUGCCUCUGCCUCUGCCUCUCCCUCUCCCCUCUCCCCUCUCCCCUCUCCUCUCGGUCUCCCUCUCCCUCUCUUUCCACGGUCUCCCUCUGAUGCUGAGCCGAAGCUGGACUGUACUGCUGCCAUCUCGGCUCACUGCAACCUCCCUGCCUGAUUCUCCUGCCUCAGCCUGCCGAGUGCCUGCAAUUGCAGGCGCGCGCCACCACGCCUGACUGGUUUUCAUACUUUUUUGGUGGAGACGGGGUUUCGCUGUGUUGGCCGGGCUGGUCUCCAGCUCCUAACCGCGAGUGAUCCGCCAGCCUUGGCCUCCCGAGGUGCCGGGAUUGCAGACGGAGUCUGGUUCACUCAGUGCUCAAUGGUGCCCAGGCUGGAGUGCAGUGGCGUGAUCUCAGCUCGCUACAACCUCCAUCUCCCAGCCGCCUGCCUUGGCCUCCCAAAGUGCCAAGAUUGCAGCCUCUGCCCGGCCACCACCCCGUCUGGGAAGUAAGGAGCGUCUCUGCCUGGCUGCCCAUCGUCUGGGACGUGAGGAGCCCCUCUGCCUGGCUGCCCAGUCUGGAAAGUGAGGAGCGUCUCUGCCCGGCCGCCAUCCCAUCUAGGAAGUGAGGAGCGCCUCUUCCCGGCAGCCAUCCCAUCUGGGAAGUGAGGAGCGUCUCUGCCCGGCCGCCCAUCGUCUGAGAUGUGGGGAGCGCCUCUGCCCCGCCGCCCCGUCUGGGAUGUGAGGAGCGUCUCUGCCCAGCCGCCCCGUCUGAGAAGUGAGGAGACCCUCCGCCCAGCAUCCGCCCCAUCUGAGAAGUGAGGAGCCCCUCCGCCCGGCAGCCGCCCCGUCUGAGAAGUGAGGAGUCCCUCUGCCCGGCAGCCACCCCGUCUGGGAAGUGAGGAGCGUCUCCGCCCGGCAGCCGCCCCGUCCGGGAGGGAGGUGGGGGGGUCAGCCCCCCGCCCGGCCAGCCGCCCCGUCCGGGAGGGAGGUGGGGGGGUCAGCCCCCAGCCCGGCCAGCCGCCCUGUCCGGGAGGUGAGGGGCGCCUCUGCCCAGCUGCCCCUACUGGGAAGUGAGGAGCCCCUCUGCCCAGCCAGCCGCCCCGUCCGGGAGGGAGGUGGGGGGGUCAGCCCCCCGCCUGGCCAGCCGCCCCGUCCGGGAGGUGAGGGGCGCCUCUGCCCGGCCACCCCUACUGGGAAGUGAGGAGCCCCUCUGCCCAGCCACCACCUCGUCUGGGAGGUGUACCCAACAGCUCAUUGAGAACGGGCCGGGAUGACAAUGGCGGUUUUGUGGAAUAGAAAGGGGGGAAAGGUGGGGAAAAGAUUGAGAAAUCGGAUGGUUGCCGUGUCUGUGUAGAAAGAAGUAGACAUGGGAGACUUUUCAUUUUGUUCUGUACUAAGAUAAAUUCUUCUGCCUUGGGAUCCUGUUGAUCUGUGACCUUACCCCCAACCCUGUGCUCUCUGAAACAUGUGCUGUGUCCACUCAGGGUUAAAUGGAUUAAGGGCGGUGCAAGAUGUGCUUUGUUAAACAGAUGCUUGAAGGCAGCAUGCUCGUUAAGAAUCAUCACCACUCCCUAAUCUCAAGUACCCAGGGACACAAACACUGCGGAAGGCCGCAGGGUCCUCUGCCUAGGAAAACCAGAGACCUUUGUUCACUUGUUUAUCUGCCAACCUUCCCUCCACUAUUGUCCUAUGACCCUGCCAAAUCCCCCUCUGCGAGAAACACCCAAGAAUGAUCAAUAAAAAAAAUAAAAAUUAAAAAAAAA
rnacentral:lncRNA from 1 species